AUACACACUGCUUUGUUUCAUCCUAUAGUAUUUUGGGGAAUUUUUCUCUAUCAGCCUUUAUAGAUUUACCUCAUGUUUUUUAAGAGCUGCAUGGUACCCUUUGUUCGGUCAGUCCCUAUGGGGGACCCCGCUGCUCUUUCCAGUGAAUGUCUUGGCUAUGACAUUAUUUGAAAUGGAAUAAAAUUCUACUUGACUCUCUAGUCUGGUGGUCCUCAUCUAGUUACAUUAUCUGAUAUUAGACCACAUUUAGUUUUGAUUCUUUUACAAGAUUAUGUUAUUUCAUAAAGUUAAUGAAUAUUUCUUGCUUUGAACAUCUUUUUCAGGUUGGUACCCGGAGGUAUAUGGCUCCAGAGGUAUUAGAGGGCGCUAUAAACUUCCAAAGGGAUGCAUUUUUGAGGAUAGAUAUGUAUGCCAUGGGAUUAGUCCUGUGGGAACUGGCUUCUCGCUGUACUGCUGCAGAUGGACCUGUAGAUGAGUACAUGUUGCCAUUUGAGGAGGAAAUUGGCCAGCAUCCAUCUCUUGAAGACAUGCAGGAGGUUGUUGUUCAUAAAAAAAGAGGCCUGUUUUAAGAGAUUAUUGGCAAGAAACAUGCUGGAAUGGCGAUGCUCUGUGAAACAAUAGAAGAUGUUGGGAUCAUGAUGCGGAAGCCAGGCUAUCAGCAGGAUGUGUAGGUGAAAGAAUUACUCAGAUGCAAAGACUAACAAAUAUCAUUACCACAGAGGACAUUGUAACAGUGGUCACAAUGGUGACAAAUGUUGACUUUCCUCCCAAAGAAUCUAGUCUAUGAUGGUUGCACCAUGUGUACACGUUGAGAAACAGGACUCUGAACUGGAGCUGCUAAGCUAAUGAAACUGCUCACAGUUUAUUUUGUGUGAAAUGAGUAGGAUGUCUCCUGCACAUGUCGAAGAGAAGACCCUCGUUCAAAACUGUGGCUCUGGGAGACUUACAGCAUUGCCUGUAGCAGAGAUGUGAAGGAUGUGAGACCUAAGAAAUGUUGCAAAUUCUAUAAACUUUUGAAAAAGUGUACAUGAAGAAUGUGGCCCUCUCCAAAUCAAGGAUCUUUUGGACCUGGCUAAUCAAGUGUUUGAAACUGACUUCAGAUUUCUUAAUGUCUGUCAGAAGACACUAAUUCCUUAAAUGAACUACUGCUAUUUUUUUUUAAAUCAAAACUUUUCAUUUCAGAUUUUUAAAGGGUAACUUGUUUUUACUGCAUUUGCUGUUGUGUUUCUAUAAAUGACUAUUGUAAUGCCAAUAUGACACAGCUUGUGAAUGUGUAGUGUGCUGCUGUUCUGUGUACAUAAACAAAGUCAUCAAAGUGGGGCACAGGAAAGAGGCUUCCAAGCAUUACUUUAACCUCCCUCAACAAGGUAUACCUCAGUUCCACGGUUGCUAAAUUAUAUCAUUGAAAACACUAACAAAAUUUGAAUAAAUCGAUCCAUGUUUUGUAACAAGGUAUUACAAAUUCACUGUGUUAUUUAA